AUGAACGCUAGCGGGAGGCCUAACACAUGCAAGCCGAGCGGUAGAGAUCUUUCGGGAUCUUGAGAGCGGCGUACGGGUGCGGAACACGUGUGCAACCUGCCUUUAUCUGGGAGAUAGCCUUUCGAAAGGAAGAUUAAUACCCCAUAAUAUAUGAUUCGGCAUCGGAUUCUAUUGAAAGCUCCGGCGGAUAGAGAUGGGCACGCGCAAGAUUAGAUAGUUGGUGAGGUAACGGCUCACCAAGUCAGUGGUCUUUAGGGGGCCUGAGAGGGUGGUACCCCACACGUGUACUGAGACACGGACCAAACUCCUACGGGAGGCAGCAGUGAGGAAUAUUGGACAAUGGGUGAAAUCCUGAUCCAGCCAUCCCGCGUGAAGGACGACGGCCCUAUGGGUUGUAAACUUCUUUUGUAUAGGGAUAAACCUACCCUCGUGAGGGUAGCUGAAGGUACUAUACGAAUAAGCACCGGCUAACUCCGUGCCAGCCGCCGCUGUAA
rnacentral:rRNA from 1 species